rnacentral:rRNA from 1 species
AGUGAAGCGGGAAAAGCUCAAAUUUAAAAUCUGGCAGUCUUUGGCUGUCCGAGUUGUAAACUAGAGAAGUGUUACCCGCGUCGGACCGUGUACAAGUCUCCUGGAAUGGAGCAUCAUAGAGGGUGAGAAUCCCGUCUUUGACAUGGACUACCGAGGCUUUUGUGGUGCGCUCUCAACGAGUCGAGUUGUUUGGGAAUGCAGCUCAGAAUGGGUGGUAAAUUCCAUCUAAAGCUAAAUAUUGGCGAGAGACCGAUAGCGAACAAGUACCGUGAGGGAAAGAUGAAAAGAACUUUGGAAAGAGAGUUAAACAGUACGUGAAAUUGCUGAAAGGGAAACGCUUGAAGUCAGUCGCGUUGGCCGGAAAUCAACCCUGCUUCUGUUGGGUGUACUUUCUGGUUGACGGGCCAGCAUCAGUUUUGACCGGUGGAAAAAGUCCAAGGGAAUGUGGCAUCUCCGGAUGUGUUAUAGCCCUUGGUCGUAUACAUCGGUUGGGACUGAGGAAUUCAGCACGCCGCAAGGCCGGGUUUCGACCACGUUCGUGCUUAGGAUGCUGGCAUAAUGGCUUUAAUCGACCCGUCU